CCUGUGCAGAUGAUGAACACCUGCCAUGCUCACACGCUUCAUGUGCUUUGAGGAAGCCUGCGGAGCGCUAAGAGGCUUCACCUGCUUUCUUUUUGUUGGCCUUUUCCUGCAGGUCAAAGUCUUUGUUUUAAACGGCAGGGAAUUGUCGGUCACGGUAAUGUGUCUGAAUCACGUUGAGAGCGGACACCUGCUCUCGGAGGAAUCCCGCUCACCUGGAGUGUGCAACAUUUUAAAGCGGCUCUGCUCUCUCGAUCGCUCCUGAUAUUCCUGAGCAUGUGCAGAUUUCGUGUGAUGGGAUCUUCAUAUCGCUGGAGGGGCCGGGACCGCCGAGACCUGUGCAGACGUGACGCGUUUUAAAAAUGGAUAGAGCUGAAAAUGGCACAUUUAUGGUGAUUUAUUGUCAUUCGGACGAAACCAUACGAAUGUCUUGUUUAAAUGAUGAGCCAUGUUUUCCAAUUAAAUUGUGGGUGCGUAG